UGGAUAUGUAACGGUGCCACGUAAGCUCGAACCCAUAUUCAAGUUGCUGGUGAACUUGUUGAAAUGAGAGCUGGGAAUAAUCCUUCCUUCCAGGUAACAUAGUCAUCAUCUCUACUUUGCAAUCCUGGGGCAAACUAAAUAAAUCCACACCACCACCAGCUAUAACCGCAUGAUAAUUGUAUGUUGAGGAAUUUUUCGAUCCGUUGAUGCAAGGAGUUGUCUUGAUAAACAUUGCAGAACUGACAUGAGGAUUCUGACAGCUGACAAGAGUCAAGACUUCAUUCAGGUGCUCAUAUGUAAGUAAGAAGAGUAGAUUCGGCCCUGUAACUCUUGUGGCGAUGUAAGGAUCAUCGUGGG
rnacentral:lncRNA from 1 species